rnacentral:rRNA from 1 species
UGGCCCAGAUCGUUUACCGUGAAAAAAUUAGAGUGUUCAAAGCAGGCAGAUCCAAUUUUCUGCCACCGAAUACAUUAGCAUGGGAUAAUGGAAUAGGACCCUGUCCUCCUAUUUUCAGUUGGUUUUGGCAGCGCGAGGACUAGGGUAAUGAUUAAUAGGGAUAGUUGGGGGCAUUAAUAUUUAAUUGUCAGAGGUGAAAUUCUUGGAUUUAUGAAAGAUUAACUUCUGCGAAAGCAUCUGCCAAGGAUGUUUUCAUUAAUCAAGAACGAAAGUUAGGGGAUCGAAGACGAUCAGAUACCGUCGUAGUCUUAACCAUAAACGAUGCCGACCAGCGAUUAGGAGACGUUGAAUACAAAACACCACCAUCGGCGCGGUCGUCCUUGGCGUCUGUCCCUUUCAACGGGGGCAGGCGCGAGGGCGG